rnacentral:rRNA from 1 species
UGGGGGAUAUUGCACAAUGGGCGAAAGCCUGAUGCAGCGACGCCGCGUGGGGGAUGAAGGCUUUCGGGUUGUAAACCUCUUUCGCUAUCGAACAAGGCCCGCUUAGGGUGGGUUGAGGGUAGGUGGAGAAGAAGCGCCGGCUAACUACGUGCCAGCAGCCGCGGUAAUACGUAGGGCGCGAGCGUUGUCCGGAAUUAUUGGGCGUAAAGGGCUUGUAGGCGGCUUGUUGCGCCUGCUGUGAAAACGCGGGGCUUAACUUCGCGCGUGCAGUGGGUACGGGCAGGCUUGAGUGUGGUAGGGGUGACUGGAAUUCCAGGUGUAGCGGUGGAAUGCGCAGAUAUCUGGAGGAACACCGAUGGCGAAGGGAGGUCACUGGGCCAGUACUGACGCUGAGGAGCGAAAGCAUGGGUAGCGAACAGG